UACGUAGGGCGCAAGCGUUGUCCGGAAUUAUUGGGCGUAAAGAGCUCGUAGGCGGCCUGUCGCGUCUGCUGUGAAAUCCCGGGCUUAACCCCGGGCGUGCAGUGGAUACGGGCUGGCUGGAGGCAGGCAGGGGAGAAUGGAAUUCCGGUGUAGCGGUGAAAUGCGCAGAUAUUCGGAGGAACACCGGUGGCGAAGGCGGCUCUCUGGGACGGUACUGACGCUGAGACGCGAAAGCGUGGGGAGCGAACAGG
rnacentral:rRNA from 1 species